rnacentral:rRNA from 1 species
GGGUUCGAUUCCGGAGAGGGAGCCUGAGAAACGGCUACCACAUCCAAGGAAGGCAGCAGGCGCGCAAAUUACCCAAUCCCGACACGGGGAGGUAGUGACAAUAAAUAACAAUACGGGGCUCUUUCGGGUCUCGUAAUUGGAAUGAGUACAAUUUAAAUCCCUUAACGAGGAACAAUUGGAGGGCAAGUCUGGUGCCAGCAGCCGCGGUAAUUCCAGCUCCAAUAGCGUAUAUUAAAGUUGUUGCAGUUAAAAAGCUCGUAGUUGAAUUUCGGGAUUGACACAUCGGUCGUGCCUUAAGGGGUAUGAACUGGUGUAGUCAAUUUCUCACCUUCUGGAGAACCGCGAUGCCCUUAAUUGGGUGUCACGGGGAACCAGGACCUUUACUUUGAAAAAAUUAGAGUGUUUAAAGCAGGCAUUUUGCUUGAAUACAUUAGCAUGGAAUAAUAAAAUAGGACGGCAUGAUUCUAUUUUGUUGGUUUCUAGGAUCACCGUAAUGAUUAAUAGGGAUAGUUGGGGGCAUUAGUAUUCAAUUGUCAGAGGUGAAAUUCUUGGAUUUAUUGAAGACUAACUACUGCGAAAGCAUUUGCCAAGGAUGUUUUCAUUAAUCAAGAACGAAAGUUAGGGGAUCGAAGACGAUCAGAUACCGUCGUA